GUAACAAGGUUUCCGUAGGUGAACCUGCGGAUGGAUCAUUACCGAGUGAGGGCCCUCUGGGUCCAACCUCCCACCCGUGUCUAUCGUACCUUGUUGCUUCGGCGGGCCCGCCGUUUCGACGGCCGCCGGGGAGGCCUUGCGCCCCCGGGCCCGCGCCCGCCGAAGACCCCAACAUGAACGCUGUUCUGAAAGUAUGCAGUCUGAGUUGAUUAUCGUAAUCAGUUAAAACUUUCAACAACGGAUCUCUUGGUUCCGGCAUCGAUGAAGAACGCAGCGAAAUGCGAUAAGUAAUGUGAAUUGCAGAAUUCAGUGAAUCAUCGAGUCUUUGAACGCACAUUGCGCCCCCUGGUAUUCCGGGGGGCAUGCCUGUCCGAGCGUCAUUGCUGCCCUCAAGCACGGCUUGUGUGUUGGGCCCCCGUCCCCCUCUCCCGGGGGACGGGCCCGAAAGGCAGCGGCGGCACCGCGUCCGGUCCUCGAGCGUAUGGGGCUUUGUCACCUGCUCUGUAGGCCCGGCCGGCGCCAGCCGACACCCAACUUUAUUUUUCUAAGGUUGACCUCGGAUCAGGUAGGGAUACCCGCUGAACUUAAGCAUAUC
rnacentral:misc_RNA from 1 species